GAUGAACGCUGGCGGCGUGCCUAAUACAUGCAAGUCGAGCGAACAGAUGAGGAGCUUGCUCCUCUGACGUUAGCGGCGGACGGGUGAGUAACACGUGGAUAACCUACCUAUAAGACUGGGAUAACUUCGGGAAACCGGAGCUAAUACCGGAUAAUAUAUUGAACCGCAUGGUUCAAUAGUGAAAGACGGUUUUGCUGUCACUUAUAGAUGGAUCCGCGCCGCAUUAGCUAGUUGGUAAGGUAACGGCUUACCAAGGCAACGAUGCGUAGCCGACCUGAGAGGGUGAUCGGCCACACUGGAACUGAGACACGGUCCAGACUCCUACGGGAGGCAGCAGUAGGGAAUCUUCCGCAAAGGGCGAAAGCCUGACGGGGCAACGCCGCGUGAGUGAUGAAGGUCUUCGGAUCGUAAAACUCUGUUAUUAGGGAAGAACAAAUGUGUAAGUAACUAUGCACGUCUUGACGGUACCUAAUCAGAAAGCCACGGCUAACUACGUG
rnacentral:rRNA from 1 species